rnacentral:rRNA from 1 species
CCUACGGGCGGCAGCAGUAGGGAAUAUUGCUCAAUGGGGGAAACCCUGAAGCAGCAACGCCGCGUGGAGGAUGAAGGUUUUCGGAUUGUAAACUCCUUUUGUUAGAGAAGAUAAUGACGGUAUCUAACGAAUAAGCACCGGCUAACUCCGUGCCAGCAGCCGCGGUAAUACGGAGGGUGCAAGCGUUACUCGGAAUCACUGGGCGUAAAGAGGGCGUAGGCGGGAUAGCAAGUCAGAUGUGAAAUCCUAUGGCUUAACCAUAGAACUGCAUUUGAAACUGUUAUUCUAGAGUAUGGGAGAGGUAGGUGGAAUGCUUGGUGUAGGGGUAAAAUCCGUAGAGAUCAAGAGGAAUACUCAUUGCGAAGGCGACCUGCUAGAGCCUAACUGACGCUGAUGCGCGAAAGCGUGGGGAGCAAACAGGAUUAGAUACCCGUGUAGUC